AUGACCGAAAAUACUCACUACAAAGCACCGGCCUCUGAAUUACUUCACGCCCUGCCCAUCAGUCCUCCACCUGAAGGAGCUCGUUGCAUGUACCAAGAGCCUGAGCUUACAGAUCACUAUAUGCAAGUGCUGAUGAAGCCAUUGAAACCUGGUCAAGCCUCAAGGACAAAAUUCCUCGUGAAGGAAUUGCAGUAUGUACCAAGGACAGUCUACCACAUUCUGACGAAGACUAUGAGUCCAAUCAAAGGCCACGACUCAUCUGAUGAGGAAAUUGUUGGCAUCAUGAAGAAUCUGGUAUUCAACAUCAUUCAUGGCAUUCCUGUCAAUUAUCACGAUUUCUUCAUGAGGACCCUGGCAAAUGUUGCACUCUCUCCGUUUGAGCUGAAGCAUUAUGCUCCCUGGAUCAUGAGAUUCCUCAGAACAAGGUCUUCACUCAACUACAAGGCUGAUUUUUAG
rnacentral:rRNA from 1 species